UUCCUUAGAAGAUGGUGAUGCUCAAGGG
rnacentral:piRNA from 1 species